rnacentral:rRNA from 1 species
AUUGAACGCUGGCGGCAUGCCUUACACAUGCAAGUCGAACGGUAACAGGUUAAGCUGCCGAGUGGCGAACGGGUGAGUAAUGUAUCGGAACGUGCCCAGUCGUGGGGGAUAACUGCUCGAAAGAGCAGCUAAUACCUCAUACGACCUGAGGGUGAAAGCGGGGGAUCGCAAGACCUCGCGCGAUUGGAUCUGCCGUUAUCAGAUUAGGUAGUUGGUGAGUUAAAGGCUCACCAAGGCGACGAUCUGUAGCCGGUCUGAGAGGAAGAACAGCCACACUGGGAAUGAGACGCGGCCCAGACUCAUAGGGGGGGGAGCAGUGGGAAAUUUGAGAAAAGGGGCGAGAGUGUGAUACAGCCAUGCCGCGUGCGGGGAGAAGGCCUGCGGGUUAGAACCCGCUUUUGUGAGGGAAGAAAAGGUUCUGGAUAAUACCGGGGACUUAUGACGGUACCUGAAGAAUGAGCACGGGAUAACUGCG